rnacentral:rRNA from 1 species
AUUGAACGCUGGCGGGAUGCUUUACACAUGCAAGUCGAACGGCAGCACGGGGGCAGCCCUGGUGGCGAGUGGCGAACGGGUGAGUAAUACAUCGGAACGUGCCCGGUCGUGGGGGAUAACGUAGCGAAAGUUACGCUAAUACCGCAUACGAUCUGAGGAUGAAAGCGGGGGACCUUCGGGCCUCGCGCGAUCGGAGCGGCCGAUGUCAGAUUAGGUAGUUGGUGGGGUAAAGGCCUACCAAGCCGACGAUCUGUAGCUGGUCUGAGAGGACGACCAGCCACACUGGGACUGAGACACGGCCCAGACUCCUACGGGAGGCAGCAGUGGGGAAUUUUGGACAAUGGGCGCAAGCCUGAUCCAGCCAUUCCGCGUGCAGGACGAAGGCCUUCGGGUUGUAAACUGCUUUUGUACGGAACGAAAAGGCUCUGGCUAAUACCUGGGGCUCAUGACGGUACCGGAAGAAUAAGCACCGGCUAACUACGUG